UGUUGUAGUUCACGCCCGUAGUAAACCAAAGGGUUAUAGUUAUUGAUCUGACCAGUACUGUUCGUAACGUCAGCCACGUAUUGUGGGUGAUAGGACGAAUAAGGACAGGUCCUCGGUCUCUAACGGAAGCCAAAGGGUUCGCCCAAGUAGCAUCCGCCAUGGGAUAGGUCAAUGAUUAUGGCUCGCUCCCUGCCAGUCCGCAAGGUCUGGUAGGGCCAUUUGGCACAACCGUAAACAAAUCAGAGUGCUCCAAGCAGGCAAUGUUAGGGGUAACCCAUUUGCUUGAAUGAUUUAGCAUGGAAUUGUCACGAAGCCGAUCGGAAACUUCGAGGGUUUACCUGAGAAGUGGAAGAUCCGGCGCUCGCAAUGAGACACUGGUAGAGGAUCCAAGUACUAUGGCGCGAGAGGUGAAAUUCAGUGACCGCCAUAUGACUAUCUAAUGCGAAAGCAGUUGUGAUCCAGAACGUGUCUGUCAAUCAGGGACGAAAGUUAAGGGAUCGAAGAUGAUUAGAUACCGUCGUAGUCUUAACCGUAAACGAUACCAACACGAGAUUGGUAGUGAGACUUUUAGAUCCUAUCAGAAUCCAAGGGAAACCGUUAAGUUUUUGGGUUCUGGGGGGAGUAUGGUCGCAAGGCUGAAACUUAAAGGAAUUGACGGAAAGGCACCACCAGGAGU
rnacentral:rRNA from 1 species